rnacentral:rRNA from 1 species
GUUCAAAUGAACAAGGGCUUAUGGUGGAUACCUAGACACCUAGAAACGAUGAAGGGCGUAGAAAGCGACGAAAUGCUUCGGUUAACUGCGAACAAGUAAACCCGGAGAUUCCCGAAUAGGGCAACCUGUAAACUGCUUGCUGAAUUCAUAGGCGAGUAAGAGACAACCUGGUGAACUGAAACAUCUUAGUAACCAGAGGAACAGAAAGCAAAAGCGAUUCCCUUAGUAGUGGCGAGCGAAACGGGAACAGCCUAAACCGUCUAUUCAGACGGGGUUGUGGGGGGACAUUGCAAACUUGCAGUACCUAGAUGAAACAGUUGAAUGCUGUACCAUAGAUGGUGAUAGUCCAGUAAUCAAAAGACUCUGCAGUUUUUGUUCUAACCCGAGUAGCAUGAGGCACGUGAAACCUCGUGUGAAUCAGCGAGGACCACCUCGUAAGGCUAAAUACUCCUAGGUGAUCGAUAGUGAAGAAGUACCGUGAGGGAAAGGUGAAAAGAACCCCCAUAGGGGAGUGAAAUAGACUAUGAAACCGUAAGCUUACAAGCAGUGGGAGAAGAAUCUAAUCUUUGACCGCGUGCCUGUUGAAGAAUGAGCCGGCGACUUAUAAGCAGUGGCCUGGUUAAGGGUAUACCGAAGCCGUAGCGAAAGCGAGUCAUUCAAGGGCGCAUGUCACUGUUUAUGGACCCGAACCCGGGUGAUCUAUCCAUGGCCAGGGUGAAGCUUGGGUGAAGCCAAGUGGAGGCCCGAACCGACUGGUGUUGAAAAACCAGCGGAUGAGCUGUGGUUAGGGGUGAAAUGCCACUCGAACUCGGAGCUAGCUGGUUCUCCCCGAAAUGCGUUGAGGCGCAGCGAUUGACUAAACUGUUUAGGGGUAAAGCACUGUUUCGGUGCGGGCUGCGAAAGCGGUACCAAAUCGAGGCAAACUCUGAAUACUAGACAUGAUCAAUAGUCAGUCAGUGAGACAGUGGGGGAUAAGCUCCAUUGUCAAGAGGGAAACAGCCCAGAUCACCAGCUAAGGCCCCUAAAUGACCGCUCAGUGGCAAAGGAGGUGAGAGUGCAAAGACAGCCAGGAGGUUUGCCUAGAAGCAGCCACCCUUGAAAGAGUGCGUAAUAGCUCACUGAUCGAGCGCUCUUGCGCCGAAAAUGAACGGGACUAAGCGGUCUGCCGAAGCUGUGAGAUUACUUUAUACUGAGUAUAUCGGUAGGGGAGCGUUCCGCGUUAGAUCGAAGCAUUAGCGUAAGCAGGUGUGGACGAGGCGGAAGUGAGAAUGUCGGCUUGAGUAACGCAAACAUUGGUGAGAAUCCAAUGCCCUGAAAACCUAAGGAUUCCUACGCAAGGUUCGUCCACGUGGGGUGAGUCAGGACCUAAGAUCAAGCCGAAUGGCGCAGUCGAUGGAUAACAGGUAACAUUCCUGUACUAUUUCCUUGUGGCUUAAGAGGGACGGAGGAGGCUAAGGGUAGUCGAAUAACGGUUAUCGAUUAAAGGGUCAUGAAAGCCCGAUUUAUCUAUGCCACACUCCCAAGAAAAGCUCGAAUGGCGUAUUCACAAGGAUUUACCUGUACCAGAAACCGACACAGGUGGGUAGGUAGAGAAUACCUAGGGGCGCGAGAUAACUCUCUCUAAGGAACUCGGCAAGAUAGCCCCGUAACUUCGGGAGAAGGGGUGCCUCCUUUUUGGAGGCCGCAGUGACCAGGCCCAGGCGACUGUUUACCAAAAACACAGGUCUCCGCAAAAUCGUAAGACGACGUAUGGGGGCUGACGCCUGCCCAGUGCCGGAAGGUUAAGGAAGUGAGUGACUUGAUAUCGAGGAAGCUCGCAACCGAAGCCCCGGUGAACGGCGGCCGUAACUAUGACGGUCCUAAGGUAGCGAAAUUCCUUGUCGGGUAAGUUCCGACCCGCACGAAAGGCGUAACGAUCUGGGCACUGUCUCGGAGAGAGACUCGGUGAAAUAGACUUGUCUGUGAAGAUGCGGACUACCUACACCUGGACAGAAAGACCCUAUGAAGCUUUACUGUUCCCUGGGAUUGGGUUUGGGCCUUUCUUGCGCAGCUUAGGUGGGAGGCGAAGAAGAUUUCCUUCCGGGGAAAUUUGAGCCACCAAUGAGACACCACCCUAGAAAGGCUAAAAUUCUAACCUUGUACCUAGAAGAAGGUCAGGGGACAUUCCCAGGUAGACAGUUUCUAUGGGGCGUAGGCCUCCUAAAAGGUAACGGAGGCGUGCAAAGGUUUCCUCAGGCUGGACGGAAAUCAGCCCUCGAGUGCAAAGGCAGAAGGAAGCUUGACUGCAAGACUUACACGUCGAGCAGGGACGAAAGUCGGCCUUAGUGAUCCGACGGUGCCGAGUGGAAGGGCCGUCGCUCAACGGAUAAAAGUUACUCUAGGGAUAACAGGCUGAUCUUCCCCAAGAGUUCACAUCGACGGGAAGGUUUGGCACCUCGAUGUCGGCUCUUCGCAACCUGGCGCGGUAGUACGUGCCAAGGGUUGGGCUGUUCGCCCAUUAAAGCGGUACGUGAGCUGGGUUCAGAACGUCGUGAGACAGUUUGGUCCAUAUCCGGUGUUGGCGUUAGAGCAUUGAGAGGGCCUCUCCCUGGUACGAGAGGAUCGGGAGGGACGCACCACUGGUGUACCAGUUAUCAUGCCAAUGGUAUACGCUGGGUAGCCAAGUGCGGAGCGGAUAACUGCUGAAAGCAUCUAAGUAGGAAGCCCACCUCAAGAUGAGUGCUCUCAUCAAGAAUAAUAUUCUUUAGGUCACGGCAAGAUAAGCCGUUUAAUAGGUAUCAGGUGGAAGUGCAGCAAUGUAUGUAGCCAAGAUAUGCUAAUAGACCAAUAGGUUUGAAC